rnacentral:rRNA from 1 species
UACGGAGGGUGCGAGCGUUGUCCGGAAUCACUGGGCGUAAAGGGCGCGUAGGCGGCUCUGCACGUCCGUUGUGAAAUCGCCCGGCUCAACUGGGCGGGGUCAGCGGAUACGGCAGAGCUUGAGCAAGCUAGGGGGCAAUGGAAUUCCCGGUGUAGUGGUGGAAUGCGUAGAUAUCGGGAGGAACACCAGUGGCGAAGGCGGUUGCCUGGGGCUUUGCUGACGCUGAUGCGCGAAAGCGUGGGGAGCGAACAGG